rnacentral:snRNA from 1 species
UUGCCCGCUUUGGCAGCACACAGACUAAAACUGGAACGAUACAGAGAUUAGCAUGGCCCCUGCACAAAGAUGACAUGCAAAUUCGUGGAGCGUUCUAUAAUUUU